ensembl:lncRNA
CAGAAGUGUUUAUUUCUUAAGCUUUUAGAUGCUAUGAACAAGAAAGAACAAAGUCCUGCUUCUGACUUAUGAACUUACAAAGUUUGCUAUCCUAUACUUGUUUUCUGCUCCAUCAAAUCUCUUAACCAUGCUCCAGAAUUGACAGCGUUUGAUUCUUUCCUGAAAACAAGUCAUAGGAAGACACAACAGUAAAAUCCCAGGGGUGUCCAAGGUUUAAUUCAGUCUCAGUUUGAGAAGUCUGCCUAAAAGCCCGUGCACCAGGAUGCUUGUGAUGACAUGAGCCCCCAUAAAAGUCUGUGAACGUUUCAGCUGAGGACAGUGCCUUGAAGGCUGUGAAGCAGAAGAGGACCAUCUCUGGGAGGCCUGUCCUGCUUCUUGCAAGAGCCUGAGCAGAAAGUGAGCAUCCUUCCCAAUUUGGCAGUGGAUAGUUCUGCCAACACUUCACACACCUGGAGAAGGACAGGCUAGCCUUUUCCAACCAGAUCCAUUCUUCUUCAUGAGACUGACUUUUACAGCCAUUCCAGUGGGGUAACUCAUCCCUGCUCACAUUAUGUGUUCUUAAAUUAAUUUCAAAAUACUUCAAGAUUACCUUCAUCUAAUGGAGAACCUCUGGGAAAGAUACCUAGCCCCUGGGCACCUACAGUGUUCCUGGUAAUGUCUGUAAAAUGUGCACUGGUCUGUGCUACGCUCCUCCAUAUCUGUACCUCAUAAUUUCAGAUUAGAAGUACCAAGCGACUUUCAGAUGUGCCUCAUUUCAAAAUGUUUCCCCACUUUGCCUCACUAUCCAUGCUAUCCUCAAGAGUCUUGGAGCAAAAGUGACAAUGUGGUGAGAAGGAGAAGGGAUACUGCAAUCAUUUAAUGUGCAUCUUCCCACAUACCUUCCAACCACUGAAUAUGCCUAAUAUCUCCUCAACAUUUUCUUAACUUUGUAUCUUGUCAUGUUACAGAAAUCAAUAGAUGCACCUCCUGAAAUAUUCUGCAAUGCU